AUGCANGUAUCUGNNCCCCCGNGNANNCNNCCUCCNACCCCUUCAAAGGAAGAGGAGCUNGUAUCAGGCACAACACAAGCCCACGACACCUAGCUACGCCACACCCACAAGGGUACUCAGCAGUGAUAAACAUUGGUCAUAAGCGACAGCUUGAACCAGUUAAAGUAAAUAGGGCCGGCAAAUCCGGUGCCAGCCGCCGCGGCUACACCGUUGGGCCCAAAUUGAUAAAUACCGGCGUUAAGCGUGGUUAAAGUGAUCUUCUUAAUUAGAAUUAUACCGCCACCAAGUUGUGACACACUUGUUUAUGGGAGACCCUAAGACGAAAGUUAUUCUAAUCAACCCACUUGAAACCACGACAGCUAGGAAACAAACUGGGAUUAGGUACCCCACUAUGCCUAGCCGUAAAAUAUCAAAUUACACCAAAAACCGCCAGGGAAUUACGAGCCCAAGCUUAAAACCCAAAGGACUUGACGGUGCCCCAUCCACCUAGAGGAGCCUGUUCUAUAAUCGAUUUUCCCCGAUAUACCUCACCCCUUCUAGCCUCUCAGUCUGUAUACCUCCGUCGCAAGCUUACCAUGUGAACGAAACUAGUGAGCUUAAAGAUUUUUUUACCCAUACGUCAGGUCAAGGUGCAGCUUACGAAGCGGAAAGAAAUGGGCUACAAUUUCUAACUUAGAACAAACGAAAGACUACAUGAAAAACAGUCAUGAAGGCGGAUUUAGUAGUAAAAAGAAAGCAGAGUGUUCUUUUUAACAAGGCCCUGGGGCGCGUACACACCGCCCGUCACCCUCUUCNAA
rnacentral:rRNA from 1 species